rnacentral:rRNA from 1 species
AUGGUUGAGGCCAUUGGUCAAUUUGGCCCUGGUCUUGAUCCUACUCAAUAUGAUCUCCGUGAGCCUUUACUGAAGGCUGAGUAUGCAAAAACCAAGAGUGAACUCAAGGAAAGAGGGGAUGAGAAGAUUGAAAAUGGCUGCUCUCUGAUGACCGAUGCUUGGACUGAUAUGAAGAGGAGAAGCAUUAUGAAACUGCUCACACAUUGUUCAGAAAGUGUUAGCUUCAUCAAGCCGAAGGAGACAACAGCCACACCACAUACAAGUGAGAUGAUCUUCGAAUAUCUGAUUGACAAAAUAAUUGAUGAAUUAGGUGCUGAACAAAUGGUGCAGGUUGUGACCGACAAUGCUUCGAACAACAUGGGGGCUAAAGAUCUCCUGAAAGUGAAGAGGCCAAACAUCUUUUGGAGCUCCUGUGUGACUCACACUGUCAAUCUGAUGCUCCAAGGGAUUGGCACCUUGUCUAAGUUCAAGAAGAUACUUGACCAAGCCAAAGCUUUCACAAUAUUUGUGUAUGGGUACCACCGCACCUUGGAAUGCAUGAGGCCCUUCACCAAGAAGAUAAAAAUCAUCAGGCCAGGAGUGACCCGAUUUCCUUCCCGAUUUCUCACUUUGCAGAUAAGGCUGAUUCACUAA